rnacentral:lncRNA from 1 species
UCGCGCCCUCCGCGUUGAUCCAACCUCGUGAUUUUACGAUCGUUUGGGUCUUCAACAACCUUUGGGGACUAACUCGAUGUUUCCUAGAAUGAUCAAUGCCUCAUCGUCCUUACGUAGUUGGCCUUGGACAGUGGGGAGUGUAAAAACCCUGGUGUGAUCCAAACAUCUUUUUCUUUUUCAAGGGAAAACUCUGUCAUCGCCUUUCGGUCAACUAUUCGUAAGUGAUUAUUCAUGUCAUUUUUACUGUAAAAGAAAAACCAUCUCCUAAUUAAGAGAUAGGACUCUCUAUAAAUAUGAUUUUUUAAAUCAUUCCAUUAACACACUUUACCUUUUAUGUUUUUUGAUGAGUCAGAAUGCUAUUUGUUGAAUUCUAACCCACCAUUGGCCUAGAUGUUGUAGUUGUUUAAUACAAGUUUCCAUCGAAUUUAAAUUACAAAUAUGUCGUAUUAAUAUUAAUUAAAUCAGCUUGGGGCCGGUUGAGGACUUCUAGCUCAUAUUUCCGCUAGUUGCUGCUCUUGGGUCGUUCCGCUAGCCUUGUACCUGUUCGCCGUGAAGGUGUUUUCUAUGUCUUAUAUUAUGUAUCUCCCUAUCUCUUGCGAUCAAGUGCGUCUAUCCUCGUGUACUCUCUUGUUUCUUUCAGUCCAGAUCCCCCAUACCGCCGCUGCCGUGUAUGCCCAUGUUAGACCCCAACAUGGCGUGUUCUUUGUUCUGGCGUGGGCCUCUUCCAUUACCUGUUGUAAAGAAAGUCACGUGCAUGUAAUCAAACCUGGUUUUGCAUUUAAUAUAUAAAAUCAUACAUCCAUGAAAAAUUUACAUCUAAAGAACACAUGGUCUUGCGAUUCUUAUGGUCCUCCACAUAAUAUGCAAUCAGUAUUUCCCCCUCCCCUUCUUUUAGCCCAAUCGACCUUCAUCGAUAUCUUAACACAUCUAGUCCUCCAUAAUGUUAUGCUAAACUUCCUAACACUAAUGGUCUAUACCAUCUCCCAGAAUUUGUCGGUUUUUCCUCUAUUCCUUAUAGAUUCUCAUGUGUUCUUGUAUGUUGGUAAGGUACUACUCCUGAUCCAACUGCAGUUGUAGUUGGGCCCACAUUUUAGGACAUUCUCUAUUAUGUUUUUGUUAUUUAUUAUUCCAGCCCAUAGGGCGAAAUUUACCCUUCGUUGCUUGCUUAUAUCUCUAAGGCCCCUUCCCCUCACGUACCUCUCUCUCAUCCAUGUGGCUCAAAUAGAGUCUUGAGCCGUCCGGAUCCUUCCCACCCUGUUUAUCCUAGAUGCCUCUGCUGUUUUUAGGAAGCAUCUCAUCCCUAAUCCCCCCUCCUUCUUGGGCAGUGUCAUUUGGUCCCACUUAAAGUCUUGCUUUCCGUUCCAGGAUUGCAGUUCCUCGAGUGUUCCUUCUAGUAGUCUACACUGGACAUAUUCCAAUAGUUAAAUAUGCCUAUUAUUCCCCAGUGGAACAGUUGCACCCUCUCCGCAUGAGACAACAACCUUGUCUUCCACCCUUCUACCGUUCCUUUAACCCGAUCUAUCAGAGGAGAACAAUCCUUUUGGUUGGAAAGGUCCCCUCACUAAACCUUAGGUUGGUCAGCAGUUCUUCUCUGCCUCUGAUUGAUUUGGAGAAGAAGAUCUUACUUUUUGUUUCGUUUACCCUUAGUGGUUUUUUUUAAGAGAACCUACCUGGUUAUUUUUCGUAAUCGAUUCAUUCCUCGUAGAUAAGGCUGUUAGCGGGUUCGGGUCUGACACCGGUCUGAGACCAAUUAAUUUCGGACCCGUUAAAGGGUCUGGGCCCAGAUGGCCGGGUCCGGGUCCAGAUUAGCCAGACCCGGCUAGACUCGGACCUGCUAUUUUAAAUGUUAAAAAAAAAAUAUUAAUAUUUUAGUAAGUUAGGGGUUUAAAUGUAAAUAUUUUAAUAUAUAUUGUAUAAUAUAUUAGUAACUUAAAGAUUUAGAACAAAGAUCUUAAAAAGAGCUAAAAACCGCUCACGAUCUGGGCCGUCCAAUUUGGGAAGAUGAUUGUCAACCGUCCAUGAGAUAAUUCUAUUAUUAGAUGUGCUUUUGUAAGAUAAAAGAUGAUCAGUGUAUUUUUUUAUCUAAUAUUUUGGUUAAAAUCUGAGGUGACAACUGCAACUCUUCUCUUCUUCUGUAAAAGCUUGCUUUUUUUGUUUUCUCCACCUAUUUUUUUUUUCAAAACUCACUCUCCUCCGCGUUUCACUCUCUCGGGCGAUUUUUUUCCCAAUAGCAAGUACUCCCAGACGCACACGACACUCGCAGACGAAGACUCACUCUCUGGCGUUCUUCCAGAAUCGCUGUCGCUUUUCGCCGGAUUUUUGGAAACCCAUUUCCAGUCUUUCCCGACGCAUUUCCUGUCCUCCUUCAUACGCGUUGUCACCGAUCAUUUUUUAACAGUGAGUAAAUAUUACGUACUCCGUUUUGUCACCGAUCAUUGUACACUUCAUUGGUUUUGAAUUUUUUUCUUCCCACAACCAUGUUCCCCCCUCUGUAUCUCCCCCCUGUAGUUUCCCCCUGUAGUUCCCCUGUAUUUCUGUAAUCAAGUUUGCACGUAAUCGCUUUGUUUGAGUUUUUAAUAUGUUAUGUCGAUUUGUUUGUGUGAAGAUAUAUUUUAGGGUAAUUUUUGUUUGCGUUGAACACCGUUAGUUGUUAAACAGCAUUAUGUGAAGAUAAGUUUUCUAUUUCAUUUGUUAGCGUAGAACGAAAUCUUUGAUUUUCUUGAACCCUUUUUUAUUUAUUUUGAAAUGAAUGCAUUGUUGUUCUUGAAGGCGUUCAUGGUGUGUCAUUUAGUACGUUCAAUUUAUCCCAUAAAAUGUUAGUAGUGCAGUAACUAAAAAUGAUAUGUUUGAAGACAUAUAACUGAAAUGUGAACAAGUAAUUCGACGAGAAGUGUUUAAGGACACUAUUUUUUGACUUAUAGAUCAACGAAAUGUAUAGGUAAUGCGGUAUGUACUGUUUUGGGGCAACGGGUUGUCGACUAAUUGAACAACGAAAGUAAGACUAAGAGUUCUCUGUUUCGAAAAGUGAAUUGGUAAUUCGACAGACACUGUUUCGGUACAACGGGUUGUUGACUAAUGGAAGAACAAAACGGGAAAAAGUCCUUGUGUGGAAAUACGAAAUGGUAAUUCGACAUGUACUGUAUUGAUACAAUAGGUUCUCAUUUUAUGGGACAACAUGUUGAAGAAAAUUCUGUCUCGAGAAGACUACUAGUAAUGCGACAUUUAGGGUUAGAGAAGAACGAAGAACACCAUGUAAGAGUAUGGGUCUGUAGUAUUUGAAAAACAACGACGAUAUGUAAUUCUCGUACGACAGUAUGAGUAGUUUCAGAAAGGCGAUUAGAAGUAUGUAGGGGACACAGGUCUGUCAACGAAUUAAGGAACAUCAGUUUAAGGAUUUUCAUGAAAAAAUGUGUGACAAGGUAAGAGAAGCACUUAAUCCACAAACAUUACGCGACAGGUACGAAUACAACCAGUAAAAGAAGGCGAUAAGAUAAAGGAAGAGACACAUACCGCGUGGAGAUGAAGAUCCGGCGUUUGAAAAAUGAUUACAUGAAACGCAAGUCCGGCGAACUUGAAAAUAAAACUCAUUCGUGAAAUGGUUCAGCAGUGCGGUGUGGAAAAGUUGGAAAAAAACUGAAACGCAAGUCCGGCGAAUAGAAACGGAGGUCCGGCGACGUUGAAAUUAAAACCCAUCCCACGAAAUGGUUGAGCAAGACGGUGUGGAAAGGUUGAAAAAAAAUAUGGAAGAAAUUUUGUCCAUAAGGUACAAUUCAUGAAAAGCUAAAGGUAAGUAAUAAAUAAAGGUACUAGGUAAGUAAAGAAAUUGCAGACAUACAUGGGGAUGUGUGUGGAGAUAACUAAUAAAAUAUUUGAAAAAGGAACAACGACUCAGAUGAAUUGCCAAAACAUCCAACGGCUCACAUAGGGUGAACGUUUUUGAGCUCACCCUAUGAUGAGCUCAUUGGAUAUUUUUUGUAAAGAAUAAAUAUAAAUACAGAUGAACUU